rnacentral:lncRNA from 1 species
CUUGAAGAAGAACUUUGGUUCGCAGGUGAAAAGCCCUAAACUUUGAAGUUUUUCUGUUCGCAGGUGAAAACACUAUUUUUUUCACGACUUAAGUCAGACGCAUACCUUUCUCUUUUUUCUUUUUACAAAUAGCGACGCCUCACUCGCUACACGCCACCAGGUCGCCUCACGCAACACAGCCUGAAGCGAGCGCCAUUUCAAAUCGCAACGCCACAGUCACUCUGAAGCGACAUACUCUCGCCUCGCCUCGCCUCACGCUAUUAGCAAGCCUGAAGCGAGCUCCAUUUCAAAUCGCAACGCCACAUCACUCUGAAGCGACACACUCUCGCCUCGCCUCACCUCACGCUAUUAGCGCCGAGGCGAGCGCUAUUUACAACACUGGGGUGACCACAAUUCAAACCUUAGUUGAGACAAAGAGCUAGGUGAUUUCUUUUCAUCUGCCUAAGCCUAGUAGAUAUCGUUACUUGGUGCUUGUGCUGGAGGUAGUAUACACCUGAUGGAUUAGUCGAGGUGUGCACAUGUUUUUUG